rnacentral:rRNA from 1 species
AGUGAACGCUGGCGGUAGGCCUAACACAUGCAAGUCGAACGGCAGCACAGUAAGAGCUUGCUCUUACGGGUGGCGAGUGGCGGACGGGUGAGGAAUACAUCGGAAUCUACUUUUUCGUGGGGGAUAACGUAGGGAAACUUACGCUAAUACCGCAUACGACCUACGGGUGAAAGCAGGGGAUCUUCGGACCUUGCGCGAUUGAAUGAGCCGAUGUCGGAUUGGCUAGUUGGCGGGGUAAAGGCCCACCAAGGCGACGAUCCGUAGCUGGUCUGAGAGGAUGAUCAGCCACACUGGAACUGAGACACGGUCCAGACUCCUACGGGAGGCAGCAGUGGGGAAUAUUGGACAAUGGGCGCAAGCCUGAUCCAGCCAUACCGCGUGGGUGAAGAAGGCCUUCGGGUUGUAAAGCCCUUUUGUUGGGAAAGAAAAGCAGCAGGUUGAUACCCCGCUGUUCUGACGGUACCCAAAGAAUAAGCACCGGCUAACUUCGUG